rnacentral:rRNA from 1 species
UACGUAGGGUGCGAGCGUUAAUCGGAAUUACUGGGCGUAAAGCGUGCGCAGGCGGUUGCUGAAGUCCGUUGUGAAAGCCCCGGGCUUAACCUGGGAAUGGCAUUGGAAACUGGCUCGCUGGAGUGUGGCAGAGGGGGGUGGAAUUCCGCGUGUAGCAGUGAAAUGCGUAGAGAUGCGGAGGAACACCGAUGGCGAAGGCAGCCCCCUGGGCUAACACUGACGCUCAGGCACGAAAGCGUGGGGAGCAAACAGG